rnacentral:lncRNA from 1 species
AGAAGAGCUGGGCUAGGGAGCUGUGCGUGCAGGCAGCAUCUCCCUAAUCUCCCUCCUUUGAUAACUUCUGUCUUUCCGUGCAUACGCAAGAACCUAGCUCAGCCGCCAGCAUCUCUUCCCGGGCUGAGCCGUCGCCCUGCAGCUAAUGCCUGACAGCUCUGUUUAUGUCUCCCCAUAAUUCUCCAGUUUUAUGUUUUUUUUUCGGGGCCAUUAAGCUCCCAGCCACAAGCUCCUUCCCCUGCCCCCGCCUGUCUUUGUCCUUGAGGCCUGGCCGCCCCACCGCCCUGUGGGAGAAGGGCUGCCCUCCCCCAGCAGGUGGACGGAGGGCUGAGUGCUCACUCUGGACAUCCCUGUCCCAGUCCUGUGGCUUCUCAUCACAGGGCUCGUCCCGCCCAUCCCCAGGGACACAGGACACCAGGGUGCCAGGGAGCCUGGUGAGGCCCAGUCUCCCUCAGACUCUGGCUUCCUUUCCUGAGUGGGCUCUGCUCUUCCCCCAGCCUCGGCCACUCCUGAGGGCAAAGUCCCCUGCCUCAACCCCCCUCUGCAGCUCCACAUCCCCAGAUUCAGCGCGCCCAUGUCACCCCGAGGCCCCCCUCCGUACACACCUCAUCCUCUGCCCCGUCUCCUCAUGGUCCAUCUGUGAGGAGGCCCCUCAGAGUCCUCAGGGCCCCCCUCCUGUCCCCAUGACCACAGCCCAGGUCUGGCCACGGGUCAGACUGGGUUCCCAGUUCCCAGCCUCCCUACCACAUGGCCUCUCACAAGCUCAGCCCCAGGCACUCCCUUGCUCUACAGCCUUCACUGGCUCCCCAUUACUUAGUCCCCGUCCUCAGUGUGCCACUCCCACUGCCCUGGCCUCCUGCAUGAGACCAGCGGGGGAUGACCCUCGCCAGGCCCGCUCAGCCCUCCCAGGGCGUCCACCCCCACUUCCACAGGCCAAACCCAGGGCAGGAGGACUUCCUCAGCAAGAAGCAGCCCUUCCCUUGCCUCUGGGUGCCCACAAUGCCCUCACGUGGCCCCUGUGGGUCAUGGAGUCCCUGGUUGCCGCAGUUCGGACGCCUGGCUCCCUGAGUGCCUGGGGCAGGCAGCUGCCACUCAAGAGCCGGCUUCCCCCACCGCUGUGA